CAGUCGCCGCGGGAAUACAGAGGGUGCGAGCGUUAAUCGGAUUUACUGGGCGUAAAGCGUGUGUAGGUUGUUGUUCAAGUCAGUUGUGAAAUCCCUGGGCUCAACCUGGGAACUGCUUCUGAGACUGAACGACUAGAGUACGGUAGAGGGUGGUGGAAUUUCCGGUGUAGCGGUGAAAUGCGUAGAUAUCGGAAGGAACAUCAAUGGCGAAGGCAGCCACCUGGGCCUGUACUGACACUGAGACACGAAAGCGUGGGGAUCAAACAGGAUUAGAUACCCCUGUAGUCCCUGUCUCUUAUAC
rnacentral:rRNA from 1 species